rnacentral:rRNA from 1 species
CGGUGGAUGAUGUGGUUAAUUCGAUGCAACGCGAAAACCUUACCACCUUUGACAUGGCAGGAAUCCCGAAGAGAUUGGGAGUGCUCGCAAGAGAACCGGGACACAGGUGCUGCAUGGCUGUCGUCAGCUCGUGUCGUGAGAUGUUGGGUUAAGUCCCGCAACGAGCGCAACCCUUGUCAUUAGUUGCCAUCAUUUGGUUGGGCACUCUAAUGAGACUGCCGGUGACAAACCGGAGGAAGGUGGGGAUGACGUCAAGUCCUCAUGGCCCUUAUGGGUAGGGCUUCACACGUCAUACAAUGGUCGGUACAGAGGGUUGCCAACCCGCGAGGGGGAGCUAAUCCCACAAAGCCGAUCGUAGUCCGGAUCGCAGUCUGCAACUCGACUGCGUGAAGUCGGAAUCGCUAGUAAUCGUGGAUCAGCAUGUCACGGUGAAUACGUCCCCGGGUCUU